GAUGGAAAGCUGCUUGGUUUUAUACCAAAGGGUCACAAGUCCCUAAAGCUGAGUGCAUC
ncrna:unclassified sequences type-P1 twister ribozyme